UUCGCCCUUAGAGUUUGAUCCUGGCUCAGGACGAACGCUGGCGGCGCGCCUAACACAUGCAAGUCGAACGAGCGAGAGAGAGCUUGCUUUCUCGAGCGAGUGGCGAACGGGUGAGUAACGCGUGAGGAACCUGCCUCAAAGAGGGGGGCAACAGUUGGAAACGACUGCUAAUACCGCAUAAGCCCACGGCUCGGCAUCGAGCAGAGGGAAAAGGAGCAAUCCGCUUUGAGAUGGCCUCGCGUCCGAUUAGCUAGUUGGUGAGGUAACGGCCCACCAAGGCGACGAUCGGUAGCCGGACUGAGAGGUUGAACGGCCACAUUGGGACUGAGACACGGCCCAGACUCCUACGGGAGGCAGCAGUGGGGAAUAUUGCACAAUGGGGGAAACCCUGAUGCAGCGACGCCGCGUGGAGGAAGAAGGUCUUCGGAUUGUAAACUCCUGUUGUUGGGGAAGAUAAUGACGGUACCCAACAAGGAAGUGACGGCUAACUACGUGCCAGCAGCCGCGGUAAAACGUAGGUCACAAGCGUUGUCCGUGAAUUACUGGGUGUAAAGGGAGCGCAGGCGGGAAGACAAGUUGGAAGUGAAAUCUAUGGGCUCAACCCAUAAACUGCUUUCAAAACUGUUUUUCUUGAGUAGUGCAGAGGUAGGCGGAAUUCCCGGUGUAGCGGUGGAAUGCGUAGAUAUCGGGAGGAACACCAGUGGCGAAGGCGGCCUACUGGGCACCAACUGACGCUGAGGCUCGAAAGUGUGGGUAGCAAACAGGAUUAGAUACCCUGGUAGUCCACACCGUAAACGAUGAUUACUAGGUGUUGGAGGAUUGACCCCUUCAGUGCCGCAGUUAACACAAUAAGUAAUCCACCUGGGGAGUACGACCGCAAGGUUGAAACUCAAAGGAAUUGACGGGGCCCCGCACAAGCAGUGGAGUAUGUGGUUUAAUUCGACGCAACGCGAAGAACCUUACCAAGUCUUGACAUCCCUUGACGAUGCUGGAAACAGUAUUUCUCUUUGGAGCAAGGAGACAGGUGGUGCAUGGUUGUCGUCAGCUCGUGUCGUGAGAUGUUGGGUUAAGUCCCGCAACGAGCGCAACCCUUAUGGUCAGUUACUACGCAAGAGGACUCUGGCCAGACCGCCGUUGACAAAACGGAGGAAGGUGGGGAUGACGUCAAAUCAUCAUGCCCUUUAUGACUUGGGCUACACACGUACUACAAUGGCGUUAAACAAAGAGAAGCAAGACCGCGAGGUGGAGCAAAACUCAGAAACAACGUCCCAGUUCGGACUGCAGGCUGCAACUCGCCUGCACGAAGUCGGAAUUGCUAGUAAUCGUGGAUCAGCAUGCCACGGUGAAUACGUUCCCGGGCCUUGCACACACCGCCCGUCA
rnacentral:rRNA from 1 species